rnacentral:tRNA from 1 species
GAGGAUGUAGUUCAGUUGGUAGAAUGCUUGCCUGGCAUGCAGGAAGCACUGAGUUUAAUCCCAGCACCCA